AACGCACAUUGCGCCCCCUGGUAUUCCGGGGGGCAUGCCUGUUCGAGCGUCAUUUAUACCAAUCUAGCCUGGCUAGGUGUUGGGCUUCGCCGUCUGGUGGGCCUUAAAACUAGUGGCGGUGCUCUUAGGCUCUACGCGUAGUAAUUUUCUCGCUAUAGGGUCCUGGGAGAUGCUGGCCAGCAACCCCAAAUUUUUCUAGGUUGACCUCGGAUCAGGUAGGGAUACCCGCUGAACUUAA
rnacentral:misc_RNA from 1 species